rnacentral:rRNA from 2 species
UUUAUUGGAGAGUUUGAUCCUGGCUCAGGAUGAACGCUGGCGGCGUGCCUAAUACAUGCAAGUCGAGCGAAUGGAUUAAGAGCUUGCUCUUAUGAAGUUAGCGGCGGACGGGUGAGUAACACGUGGGUAACCUGCCCAUAAGACUGGGAUAACUCCGGGAAACCGGGGCUAAUACCGGAUAACAUUUUGAACUGCAUGGUUCGAAAUU